AUUGAAUUGUUUAAGCAAACGAGGUUGAGCAGUGAUGACGGCGGGCGAUGUUGAGCAUAGACGAUGAAGAUCCUUCAAUAGAAUAGUACUCGGAUGCGACGUGUCUCCAUACACAACGUUAUCUGCUCUUGACUCUUCCACUGCAGUGCAAAAGUCGAGUUUGCACUGUUUUUAUCGUGCACUCUGAUAUAUACUAUAACAUAUUGGGGUUUGAUGAUGCAUUCAACUACAAUGAAGAAUCGUACCUGAAUGAAGCCAUAAAGAGGAGGCAAAAUGCUCGAUUCGGUGCUCCCGAACAUUAGACCCCACGGUCGCAACACCGCCUGCAGGACGAUCUCGCAGUAUGACGAGGAGGAGCCAAACGCGACACACAACUUGAUGUAUGUGAUCGUAAAGAAAAUCCGAAUGCAAGGAUUCGUCGUCUUCGACUACUUCAUUGUUGAAGGAAUUGAGGCUGCGCCAGCUGCUUUGGUUGGACACUUUUCUGGUCGCAAAGUGGGAAAGCAAGUUGUUCUUGUGGCUCGUGAUUGAUCAAUUUGGUCCUAUCGAUCUUGAUUUAAUGGACGGUGAGGAUUGAAUUGUGUAUUAAUUUAUAUCUAAAAUAAUUUGUGUUAGCUUCAAUAAAGAAUUACCAUUUUUAUACAUGUUAGAAACUAGAAACAAAGAGAUGAAACUUCUUUUUUCUUCUUUGAA